CAAUUUUUGCUAGUUGGCAACUUAAUCUUUUAUAUGUUUCUACUUAAACUCAUCAUAUGGUCCCGGUAAAUUUGGAAAAAAAGUGAUGAGUAGAUGAAU